ACGUAGGUGGCAAGCGUUGUCCGGAUUUAUUGGGUUUAAAGGGUGCGUAGGCGGCCUGUUAAGUCAGUGCUGAAAUAUCCCGGCUUAACCGGGAGGGUGGCAUUGAUACUGAUGGACUUGAGUAGAGUUGAGGUUGGCGGAAUUGACGGUGUAGCGGUGAAAUGCUUAGAUAUCGUCAAGAACACCUAUUGCGAAGGCAGCUAACUAAGCUCAAACUGACGCUGAGGCACGAAAGUGUGGGGAUCAAACAGGA
rnacentral:rRNA from 1 species